rnacentral:rRNA from 1 species
GACGAACGCUGGCGGCGUGCUUAACACAUGCAAGUCGAACGGAAAGGCCCUGCUUUUGUGGGGUGCUCGAGUGGCGAACGGGUGAGUAACACGUGAGUAACCUGCCCUUGACUUUGGGAUAACUUCAGGAAACUGGGGCUAAUACCGGAUAGGAGCUCCUGCUGCAUGGUGGGGGUUGGAAAGUUUCGGCGGUUGGGGAUGGACUCGCGGCUUAUCAGCUUGUUGGUGGGGUAGUGGCUUACCAAGGCUUUGACGGGUAGCCGGCCUGAGAGGGUGACCGGCCACAUUAGGACUAAGAUACGGACCAGAAGCCUACGGGCGGCAGCAGUCGGGAAUAUUACACAAUGGGCGGACGCCUGAUGCAGCAACGCCGCGUGCGGGAUGACGGCCUUCGGGUUGUAAACCGCUUUCGCCUGUGACGAAGCGUGAGUGACGGUAAUGGGUAAAGAAGCACCGGCUAACUACGUG